rnacentral:lncRNA from 1 species
GGGGGAAUAGGUAAAAAGGAAAAGAAAAGGAAAUCGUUUUUCAUAAGAAAUUGCUAGUCGCCUAAAAUAAAUCUAUGUACAUCAAGAUUUAAAGAAAAAUCACGUCACAAUUAUACAACAAUAUGAAGACAAAAAUAGUUUUGUACUAACUAUAUAUUAUUAAAUUUAAAUUAUCUAUAAAGUAAAAAGAAAAACCAAUGUUGCAAUGCAAAACUACAAUUACAUAUUUUAUGAAAAACCUAAAAGC